UUGCGGUUAAAAAGCUCGUAGUUGGAUCUCGGCAAGCAGGGGCCGGUUCGCUCCAUAGCGUUACUGGCCCAUUUGCUUGUGUGAUUGGCGGAGGUUUCGGGGUGCUCAUUACUGAGUGUCCCGGGGCGCCGUCAGGUUUACUUUGAAAAAAUUAGAGUGCUCAAAGCAAGCUUUUCACGCUUGAAUAUUCGUGCAUGGAAUAAUGGAAUAGGAACUCGUUUCUAUUUUGUUGGUUUUCGGAAAUCGAGUUAAUGAUUAAUAGGGACAAUUGGGGGCAUUAGUAUUCAGGCGACAGAGGUGAAAUUCUUGGACCGUCUGAAGACUAACUACUGCGAAAGCAUUUGCCAAGAGUGUUUUCAUUAAUCAAGAACGAAAGUUAGAGGUUCGAAGGCGAUCAGAUACCGCCCUAGUUCUAACCAUAAACGAUGCCAGCUAGCGAUCCGCCGAGUUUUCUUUGUAGGCUCCGCGGGAAGCUUUCGGGAAACCAAAGCUUUUGGGUUCCGGGGGAAGUAUGGUUGCAAAGCUGAAACUUAAAGGAAUUGACGGAAGGGCACCACCCAGGAGUGGAGCCCUGCGGCUUAA
rnacentral:rRNA from 1 species